ACGAAGGGGGCUAGCGUUGCUCGGAAUUACUGGGCGUAAAGGGAGCGUAGGCGGACAUUUAAGUCAGGGGUGAAAUCCCGGGGCUCAACCUCGGAACUGCCUUUGAUACUGGGUGUCUUGAGUGUGAUAGAGGUAUGUGGAACUCCGAGUGUAGAGGUGAAAUUCGUAGAUAUCUGGAGGAAUACCGGUGGCGAAGGCGGCUAACUGGUCCAGAUCUGACGCUGAGGUGCGAAAGCGUGGGGAGCAAACAGGA
rnacentral:rRNA from 1 species